rnacentral:sRNA from 1 species
GCUGGGUGCGGUGGCGCACGCUUGCAAUCCCAGCGGCUUGGGAGGCUGAGACAGGAGGAUUGAGAGUUCAAAGCCAACCUCAGCAAAAAAAAAGCGAACUGCUGAGCAACUCAGUGAGACCCUCUCUCUA